UGGAAUCCGGUUUCUAAGGUGUGUAACACAACAAAGAUGGAAACCGCGCAGCCAUGAAUUAGGGAUGUUUCAGACCCUCUGUUUCAUACCAGAGUAAAUACUUCCGCGAGAGUUAUCAAGUGAGUUUUGAUUUUAUUAUAAUUUUUCUCACGAAAAUUUUCAAUACACGGAAUUGUCGCCACCAUGACAAGUUCAUGACAUGGUGACGUCAUCAAUGCCUAUCCGAGUUCAUUCGGUAUCGUAGAGGAUAUCGGUUCGCCGUCGCCAUUGACGGUGAUGGGUUGUGGCUCAUGGCACCGGAAGUGUGAUGGUACCGGAAGUGAUCGUGUCUUCCAUUACAACGAGCAAUCGUUCUAACUCGUGUGUUUCAAGCAAAAGCCAUUGACGGUGAUGGGUUGUGGCUCCUGGAACCGAAUGUGAUCGUGUCUUCCAUUACAACGAGCAAUCGUUCUAACUCGUGUGUUUUAAGCAAUAGCCAUUGACGGUGAUGGGUUGUGGCUCAUGGCACCGGAAGUGUGAUGGUACCGGUAGUGAUCGUGUCUUCCAUUACAACGAGCAAUCGUUCUAACUCGUGUGUUUCAAGCAAUGGCCAUUGACGGUGAUGGGUUGUGGCUCAUGACACCGGAAAGGUGAUGGUACCGGAAGUGAUCGUGUCUUCCAUUACAACGAGCAAUCGUUCUUACUCGUGUGUUUCAAGCAAUGGCCAUUGACGGUGAUGGGUUGUGGCUCCUGGCACCGGAAGUGCGAUGGUACCGGAAGUGAUCGACGUAUUCACUACAACCAUUGCCUUUCUAGCAAUAGCCAUGUACGAUGGGUUGUGGCUUCUGACUAGAGGGUAGUUGAUGAUGGGAUGUUUAUUCGAUAAAGCCGUCGUUAUAACUCAUUCAACACCACUGAUGUCCCUUUCAAGUAGUAGCUGAAUUGUUGAGCUUUGGAUUUAGAUUUCUCCAACAGAUCCUGAAACAAGCAAAUAUAUUUUCAAAAAAUACAACGAUAAUGAUGGUUCUAUUAAUGAUGAUGAUGACUACGAUGACUAUUUCAAUGAUGACGAUUAUAAUCAUGAUGACGAUGUUGAAAAUGGUGAUGGUAAUGUCAAUUUUGAUUAUGGUGGUGGUGGUGGUGAUGAUGAUGGUAAUAACGAUGAUGUGACCAUCGUGGAAGAACUGGAGA